rnacentral:tRNA from 1 species
GGGAGUGUGGUCUAGUGGUAUGAUACCCGCUUUGGGAAGUUGUUCUCGAACAUGCGGGUGGCCCGGGGUUCAAUUCCCCGCUCUCCCC